rnacentral:rRNA from 1 species
CGCCGAGAAUGUACCGGGGCUCCAUGGGCGCACCGAAGCGGCGAGCUCGACCCGCGCGGUCGAGCGGUAGCGGAACGUUCCGUGGGCCGAAGAAGGCGGAUCGCGAGGUCCGCUGGAGGUGUCGGAAGUGCGAAUGCUGACAUGAGUAGCGUUAAAGGGGGUGAAAAGCCCCCUCGCCGUAAGCGCAAGGUUUCCUACGCAACGUUCAUCGUAGGGUGAGUCGGCCCCUAAGGUGAGGCUGAAAGGCGUAACUGAUGG